rnacentral:rRNA from 1 species
UACCAGCACCCCGAGUGGUCGGGACGAUUAUUGGGCCUAAAGCAUCCGUAGCCGGUUCUGCAAGUCUCCCGUUAAAUCCAACUGCUCAACAGGUGGGCUGCGGAGGAUACUACAGAGCUAGGAGGCAGGAGAGGCAAGCGGUACUCAGUGGGUAGGGGUAAAAUCCGUUGAUCCAUUGAAGGCCACCAGUGGCGAAGGCGGCUUGCCAGAAUGCGCUCGACGGUGAGGGAUGAAAGCUGGGGGAGCAAACCGG